rnacentral:other from 1 species
GGCGAGCGGGUUGUCCGUGUCGAUUGGCCGAGAGUUCUACCUACAUGUGUUCAACCAGGGGGCCGCCCCUGUCCGCAGGCGUGCAGGCUCGUUCGACGAGAAGCCCAACGCGGGUACCGUGGCUCCCACCUACAGAGUGUAGGGGUUGAACUUUUUUGCCAGACCGGACAACCCGCUCCCUU